rnacentral:misc_RNA from 1 species
GAAAUGCGAUAAGUAGUGUGAAUUGCAGAAUUCAGUGAAUCAUCGAAUCUUUGAACGCACAUUGCGCCCCUUGGUAUUCCAUGGGGCAUGCCUGUUCGAGCGUCAUUUGUACCCUCAAGCUCUGCUUGGUGUUGGGUGUUUGUCCCCGUCUCCGCGCGUGGACUCGCCCCAAAGUGAUUGGCAGCCGGCGUACUGGUCCCGGAGCGCAGCACAUGUCGCGCAAACGAGUGCCUUGGUACGGCGGCGUCCAUAAGCCCCUCUCUCACGCUGUUGACCUCGGAUCAGGUAGGGAUACCCGCUGAACUUAAGC